rfam:Betaproteobacteria bacterium RBG_16_56_24 RBG_16_scaffold_1025, whole genome shotgun sequence.
ACAGGCAAAUCUGGAGAGCGUUGAAACAAUCAACCACCGAAGGGGCACACAACGCGAGUUGUAAUCUCUCAGGUACCAAGGACAGAUGGGGCGCA